CCCAAACCUGCUGAUGCGCCGUGCUGUCGCUCCUGGGUUUGGUAACAGGCUCUCAUCUGAAAUGGCAGGAAAGGUCUGCCACGCCUGGACCAGAAGCCAAAAUUUCAGCAUUUCAUUCUUUCUCAGCCACCAAAAAUGACAGCAAAACCUCUGGUUUUCUCCUUGGUCAGCAGGGCACAGAGAAAGAAGGAACCCCUGUGCUGGCUGAAACUGUUGCCUGUGCUCUGGGUUGAAGAUUUUAAACUUUUUCAUUUUAAAGGUAGGGGCUUGCAUGAAUAUGCUCCAAGAUAUUUCACUCAUGGAACUGGAGAGGGGUGUGAUUCAGCCUGAAACUGGAUUUAUGCUGCACUCUUAUUUUAGUUCCUACUGCCUAGGAGAAUAGUUACUACUCAAAUCACAAACUGUGUCUGUGACCUGUGCUAAGUUUUCAAAUUAAUUUGGUUUUGGUUUUGAUAGCUUCAACGGAAUUGUUGAAUAACAUUUCCUUCAGCAGGAGUUUUCCAAACAAAUUUACUUCAUUUCUGCUCGUGAGAAGUGGAAAGAAUGUAUUUUCCUUGUGCCUGCUUGGAACUACAUGUGCCUCUGAGGUCCAGAAGGUGACAUAUCUUUCACAAGUGAUUCUUCCAAUAAGGGUAGAGAGGAGAAACUAAUUGUUGUGUGCUGUAGCUACCAGAAGAUUAAAAAUAUUCUGUACUAAAAUAAAUUAACUGUUGCUCAGCAUUUGGACUUGUGGAGCACAGAGCUGACUAGGUUGAGCCUAGGGAGAGAACUGGAAAACCAACUUCUCAGCUGGAAAAGGAGCCCCCUGAAUUUAAUGCUGUUGGACCUAAUGAGCAGGAACAAACCUGGAAGACCUUGGCUGAAUGCUAAAUGUGACAGCAGUUUGAAAUCUGCUUGUGUUUCGCUUGUUUCACUGGUACAAAGCUUCUGGAGAAAUGCAUCAGGAACAUUUGAAUGCAAGUGAAGGAUUCAAACAGAACCAAAUCACUGGGGUGCCUGAACAAGGCAUUGCCAAGGCUUUGCACAUGUCAAUCACUCACAGAGAAGAUCAUCUAAGCCAGAAA